rnacentral:rRNA from 1 species
AUGGCCCGCCUGUUCCGCGACCCCCGCCGCGACUCCGCCUCCUCCUCCUCCAAUGGCUUCGCGCCCCCGGUCGCGUCGCCCGCCGCCUCCGCGCUGCCGUCGCCGUUCCCCGACCUCGGCGUGCAGCUCUCCGCGGCCGAGCUCCGCGAGACCGCCUACGAGGUCCUCGUCUCCGCGUCCCGCACCACCGGCGGCAAGCCCCUCACCUACAUCCCCCAGGCGGGCCCCGCGUCCCCCGCCUCGGCCUCCUCGGCGUCCUCCGUCAACAGCUCCUCCUCGUCGCUCCAGCGCUCGCUUACCUCGGCCGCCGCCAGCAAGAUGAAGAAGGCGCUCGGGCUCAAGUCCUCGGCCUCGUCCAAGGGGGGCAGCCCGGGGAGCGGAGGUGCCGGGGUCAAGGCGGCCCCGCAGCGGCCGGCGACGGUCGGGGAGCUGAUGCGGGCGCAGAUGCGCGUGUCGGAGCCCGCCGACGCCAGGAUCCGGAGGGGCCUCCUCCGCAUCGCCGCGGGUCAGCUUGGCAGGCGCGCGGAAGCUAUGGUUUUACCCUUGGAAUUCCUGCAGCAGUUCAAGGCAUCAGAUUUCCCUGAUCUUCAAGAACACGAGGCAUGGCAGGGCAGGAACUUGAAGCUUAUUGAGGCUGGUUUGCUCGUUCACCCGUUUGUUCCGCUGAACAAAUCAGACAGUUCUGCACAACGGCUGAAGCAAAUCAUACGUGGAGCAUAUGAUAGGCCACUUGAAACUGGGAAAAACUCAGAGUCGAUGCAGGUCUUACGCACUGCUGUCAUGUCCCUUGCUGGAAGGUCCCAUGAUGGAACUUCUGAUGGAUGCCACUGGGCAGAUGGUUUCCCCUUGAAUCUCCAUCUUUACCAAAUGUUGGUAGAAGCUUGCUUUGAUAGUGAUGAUAGCACUGUGGUUGACGAGAUUGAUGAGGUGAUUGAGCUCUUGAAGAAGACUUGGGUUAUUCUUGGAAUUAACCAGAUGCUUCAUAAUCUUUGCUUUGCUUGGGCAUUGUUCAAUCAUUUUGUUAUGUCAGGCCAAGUAGAUAUCGAGCUGCUUUCUGCUGCUGAGAAUCAGUUGGUUGAAGUUGCAAAGGAUGCCAAAACCACUAAGGAUCCAAAUUACUGUAAAGUAUUGAGUUCAACAUUAAGCUCGAUAAUGGGCUGGACAGAAAAAAGACUUCUGGCGUACCAUGAAACAUUUAAUACAAGUAACAUCGAGUCCAUGCAAGGUAUUGUCUCAAUUGGAGUGACAGCUGCAAAGGUGCUUGUUGAAGAUAUAUCCCAUGAAUACCGCCGUAGGAGGAAAGAAGAGACUGAUGUAGCUCGAAGUAGGAUAGAAACAUAUGUAAGGUCUUCACUCCGUACAGCUUUUGCUCAAAGAAUGGAAGAAGCAGAUUCAAAGCGAUCAUCAAGGAACCCUACCCCAGUUAUGUCUAUCCUUGCAAAGGACAUUGGUGACCUAGCAAUUAAGGAGAAAAAUCUGUACAGUCCAAUACUGAAGACAUGGCAUCCCCUCGCUUCAGGUGUUGCUGUUGCAACCCUUCAUUCAUGUUAUGGAAGUGAGCUGAAGCAGUUCAUAGCUGGGCUUACAGAGUUAACCCCGGAGACAGUUCAAGUGCUCAAGUCUGCAGACAAAUUAGAAAAGGAUCUCGUUAAUAUUGCUGUCGAAGAUUCUGUGGAUAGUGAUGAUGGAGGCAAGUCAUUAAUCAGAGAGAUGCCACCAUAUGAAGCUGAAAAUGCAAUUGCUAAUCUUGUGAAAGUGUGGAUAAAAGAAAGGGUGGAUAGACUCAAGGGAUGGGUUGACCGGAAUCUGAAGCAAGAGACAUGGAGUCCAGGUGCCAACAGAGAUAACUUUGCUCCCUCGUCUGUGGAGAUGCUUCGGAUUAUUGGGGAAACACUGGAUGCAUUUUUCGAAUUGCCCAUACCAAUGCAUCCAGCUCUUCUUCCUGAUCUGACAGUAGGUCUGGAUAGAAGCUUACAGCUAUAUGUGUCUAAAGCAAAAUCUGGCUGUGGGUCACGGAGUUCUUUUAUACCCGAACUACCUCCACUAACGCGAUGUGAGGUUGGCUCGAAACUACUAUUCAAGAAAAAGGAGAAGCCACAGAAUCCACAGCAUCGAGGACCACAAAAUGGAGCAACCAAUGGAACUGACCCCUUGGGCCUUCCUCAACUUUGUGUACGCUUGAAUACACUUCAGUACAUCCGAAGCGAGCUGGAGAACCUAGAGAAGAAGAUUAAAACAUGCUUGCGGAACGUCGAGUCAGCUCAGGCAGAUAUUACUAAUGGAUUGGAGUUCAAGUUUGAACUUUGUCAGGCGGCCUGUCAAGAAGGUAUACAACACUUGUGUGAGACGACUGCUUACAAGGUCACCUUUUUCGACUUGGGCCAUAUUCUGUGGGACACUCUCUACAUCGGUGAUCUUGCAUCGAGCAGGGUGGACUUAUUGUUGAGAGAGCUUGAUCCUAUCCUGGAGACAAUAUCAGGUACGGUGCACAUCAAGGUGCGGAACCGUGCCAUAACGGCAUUGAUGAAAGCCACAUUCGACGGCUUCUUGCUGGUUAUCCUUGCUGGUGGGCCUCUGCGUGCUUUUACCCGGCAGGACUCUCAGAUAAUAGAGGGCGACUUCAGGUCCCUCAGAGACCUGUUUCUGGCCGACGGAGAUGGUUUGCCGGAGGAGCUGGUUGACAAGGCGUCCUCCCAGGUAAAGAAUGUCCUGCCCCUCCUACGAACAGACUCGGAAGGCCUCAUCGAGCGGUUCAAACGACUGAUUGCCGAUUCGGAUCAAAGCCGAACUGCCUCCAGGGGCAAGUUGCCGAUGCCAACGACUACAGGACACUGGAGUCCAAAUGAUGCGAACACGGUCCUGCGGGUCCUGUGCUACCGGCACGAGGAGGCGGCUACAAGGUUCCUCAAGAAAACCUAUGGCCUUCCCAAGAAGCUUUGA